GAUGAACGCUGACAGAAUGCUUAACACAUGCAAGUCUUUGGCGAAGCUGUGCUUGCACAGCCUAGCCAAGGCGGACGGGUGAGUAACGCGUAAGGAACUUGCCCUGCAGUCAGGGAUAACAGACGGAAACGACUGAUAAGACCUGGUAAAGUCAGGCGGACUCAUGUCCAGCCUGAUGAAAAGAGAUGCUGCAGGAGAGCCUUGCGUCCUAUUAGCUUGUUGGUGGGGUAACGGCCCACCACGGCGAUGAUAGGUAGCCGGCCUGAGAGGGUGGACGGCCACAAGGGGACUGAGAUACGGCCCUUACUCCUGCGGGAGGCAGCAGUGGGGAAUAGUGGAAAAGGGGGGCAACCCUGAUCCAGCAAUUCUGUGUGCAAGAUGAAGGUUUUCGGAUUGUAAAGUGCUUUCAGGGGGGAAGAAAAAAAUGACGGUACCUGCAGAAGAAGCGACGGCUAAAUACGUG
rnacentral:rRNA from 1 species